rnacentral:rRNA from 1 species
UACGUAGGGGGCUAGCGUUGUCCGGAAUCAUUGGGCGUAAAGCGCGUGUAGGCGGUCCGGUAAGUCUGCUGUGAAAGUCCAGGGCUCAACCCUGGGAUGCCGGUGGAUACUGUCGAGCUCGAGUCCGGAAGAGGCGAGUGGAAUUCCUGGUGUAGCGGUGAAAUGCGCAGAUAUCAGGAGGAACACCAAUGGCGAAGGCAGCUCGCUGGGACGUGACUGACGCUGAGACGCGAAAGCGUGGGGAGCAAACAGG